AACGUAGGUGGCGAGCGUUAUCCGGAUUUACUGGGCGUAAAGGGUGUGCAGGCGGGCUGUUAAGUGGUGCGUGAAAUCUCCGCGCUUAACGUGGAGAGGCUGUGCCAGACUGGCAGUCUCGAGUACGUGAGAGGGUUGUGGAAUUCCGGGUGUAGUGGUGAAAUGCGUAGAGAUCCGGAGGAACACCAGAGGCGAAGGCGGCAACCUGGCACGUUACUGACGCUCAUACACGACAGCAUGGGGAGCGAACGGG
rnacentral:rRNA from 1 species